rnacentral:lncRNA from 1 species
AAAUAUAGCUUUAGAACUAGACAAGACACAACAUGCCCAGUAAAGAUCAGAGUAAUUGAGCCUGGCAGGCUCCUUCAGAUGAACAACCCAAGGACUUAGGAAGGAUGCACAGCUCACCUAGGACAGCUGAUGGAGACAUGACUGACUGGUCCAUAAGAGCUUGGUCAUACCUAAUGGGUA